rnacentral:rRNA from 1 species
AUUGAACGCUGGCGGCAGGCCUAACACAUGCAAGUCGAGCGGAGCGGCGGACGGGUGAGUAAUGCCUAGGUAUCUGCCUGGUCGUGGGGGAUAACGUCCGGUAACGGGCGCUAAUACCGCAUACUAUCAGAUGAGCCUAGGUCGGAUUAGCUAGUGGGUGGGGUAAAGGCCUACCAAGGCGACGAUCCGUAACUGGUCUGAGAGGAUGAUCAGUCACACUGGAACUGAGACACGGUCCAGACGCCUACGGGAGGCAGCAGUGGGGAAUAGUGGACAAUGGGGGAAAGCCUGAUGCAGCCAUGCCGCGUGUGUGAAGAAGGUCUUCGGAUUGUAAAGCACUUUAAGUUGGGAGGCGUUACCAACAGAAGAAGCACCGGCUAACUUCGUGCCAGCAGCCGCGGUAAUUC